GGAGGGUGCAAGCGUUAUCCGGAUUCACUGGGUUUAAAGGGUGCGUAGGCGGAUUAGUAAGUCCGUGGUGAAAUCUCCAAGCUUAACUUGGAAACUGCCGUGGAUACUAUUAGUCUUGAAUGUUGUGGAGGUUAGCGGAAUAUGUCAUGUAGCGGUGAAAUGCAUAGAUAUGACAUAGAACACCAAUUGCGAAGGCAGCUGGCUACACAAAUAUUGACGCUGAUGCACGAAAGCGUGGGGAUCAAACAGGAUUAGAUACCCUGGUAGUCCACGCCCUAAACGAUGAUUACUCGACAUUUGCGAUAUACAGUAAGUGUCUGAGCGAAAGCAUUAAGUAAUCCACCUGGGAAGUACGACCGCAAGGUUGAA
rnacentral:rRNA from 1 species